rnacentral:rRNA from 1 species
AGAGUUUGAUCCUGGCUCAGAUUGAACGCUGGCGGCAUGCUUUACACAUGCAAGUCGAACGGCAGCGCGGGGCAACCUGGCGGCGAGUGGCGAACGGGUGAGUAAUAUAUCGGAACGUACCCAAGAGUGGGGGAUAACGUAGCGAAAGUUACGCUAAUACCGCAUACGAUCUAAGGAUGAAAGUGGGGGAUCGCAAGACCUCAUGCUCCUGGAGCGGCCGAUAUCUGAUUAGCUAGUUGGUGAGGUAAAGACUCACCAAGGCGACGGUCAGUAGCUGGUCUGAGAGGACGACCACCCACACUGGAACUGAGACACGGUCCACACUCCUACGGGAGGCAGCAGUGGGGAAUUUUGGACAAUGGGCGCAAGUCUGAUCCAGCAAUGCCGCGUGAGUGAAGAAGGCCUUCGGGUUGUAAAGCUCUUUUGUCAGGGAAGAAACGGUUGAGGCUAAUAUCCUCGGCUAAUGACGGUACCUGAAAAAAUAAGCACCGGCUAACUACGUGCCAGCAGCCGCGGUAAUACGUAGGGUGCAAGCGUUAAUCGGAAUUACUGGGCGUAAAGCGUGCGCAGCGGUUUUUUUAAGUCCUGUCGUGAAAGCCCCG